AGAACGAACGCUGGCGGCGUGCCUAACACAUGCAAGUCGCACGAGAAAGGGGAGCAAUCCCUGAGUAAAGUGGCGCACGGGUGAGUAACACGUGAAUAAUCUACCUCCGAGUGGGGAAUAACUGAGAGAAAUCUUAGCUAAUACCGCAUAACACUUACGAGUCAAAGCAGCAAUGCGCUUGGAGAGGAGUUCGCGGCCGAUUAGUUAGUUGGCGGGGUAAUGGCCCACCAAGACGAUGAUCGGUAUCCGGCCUGAGAGGGCGCACGGACACACUGGAACUGAAACACGGUCCAGACUCCUACGGGAGGCAGCAGUGGGGAAUUUUGCGCAAUGGGGGAAACCCUGACGCAGCAACGCCGCGUGGAGGAUGAAGCCCCUUGGGUGUAAACUCCUUUCGAUCGGGAAGAUAAUGACGGUACCGAUAUAAGAAGCCCGGCUAACUUCGCGCCAGCAGCCGC
rnacentral:rRNA from 1 species